GUUUUGGAAAAGAAUUUACAAAUUUUAUCAUUUUUAGUUGAGACUCCCAUACCACCUUAAGGUUAGUAGUUACAGUUAUGUAAUGAAAAUCUGUAAUUGCGUCGGGUUUAUAUAAACUAUAAAAGCUAUAUGCACUAGUUUUUUUUCUAACGUUUACUCGAAUUCAUUACAUGUAAUCAAUCAACCUUAGUAACAAAAGAAGUCUAGAUGUUUUGGAAACCGUAAUGCAAAUGUUUUCCACAUUUCAAUUGUUGUUUAA
rnacentral:lncRNA from 1 species